UGCCAAUGUAUGAUCAUAUAAUGUAACUAAACCCCCAUUGCUUUUGCCUAGAUUAGGUGUUUAAAAAACAAAACAAAAAACCAACAACAACAAAAAUAAUACAUUGUAUGAGCUUUGAAGUUGAUGUUUGGUAAGUGAGUGUAUUUGAUUUUGUAUGAGAAGUGGGAACAAGAAGGGUGUUAAAUGAACCCAGGCACACAGCUUUCCCCAAUGUUAUCUUACUGAAUAACAUCCUAUCACCGAUCACAAACAUCUCAUUAUCUAUU